rnacentral:rRNA from 1 species
UACGUAGGGUGCAAGCGUUAAUCGGAAUUACUGGGCGUAAAGCGUGCGCAGGCGGCUUCGCAAGACAGACGUGAAAUCCCCGGGCUUAACCUGGGAAUGGCGUUUGAAACUACGGAGCUGGAGUGUGGCAGAGGGAGGUAGAAUUCCACGUGUAGCGGUGAAAUGCGUAGAUAUGUGGAGGAAUACCGAUGGCGAAGGCAGCCUCCUGGGCCAACACUGACGCUCAUGCACGAAAGCGUGGGGAGCAAACAGG